rnacentral:rRNA from 1 species
CAGUAGCCGCGGGAAUACGAAGAGGGCUAGCGUUGCUCGGAAUUACUGGGCGUAAAGGGAGCGUAGGCGGACUGUUUAGUCAGAGGUGAAAGCCCAGGGCUCAACCUUGGAAUUGCCUUUGAUACUGGCAGUCUUGAGUACGGAAGAGGUAUGUGGAACUCCGAGUGUAGAGGUGAAAUUCGUAGAUAUUCGGAAGUACACCAGUGGCGAAGGCGACAUACUGGUCCGUUACUGACGCUGAGGCUCGAAAGCGUGGGGAGCAAACAGGAUUAGAUACCCCAGUAGUCCCUGUCUCUUAUAC